rnacentral:rRNA from 1 species
UACGUAGGGUGCGAGCGUUGUCCGGAUUUAUUGGGCGUAAAGGGCUCGUAGGCGGCGUGUCGCGUCGGGGAGUGAAAGCCCGCUGCUUAACGGCGGGUUGGCUUCCGGUACGGGCAUGCUGGAGUGCGGCAGGGGAGACUGGAAUUCCUGGUGUAGCGGUGGAAUGCGCAGAUAUCAGGAGGAACGCCGGUGGCGAAGGCGGGGUCUCUGGGCCGUUACUGACGCUGGAGGAGCGAAAGCGUGGGGAGCGAACAGG